CUGUCAGUUGUAACUGAUGGGCUAAGCUUGGGACUUUACUGAUGAGUCAAGUUCCUGAGAAAAAAAAAGCAACCAAAAGAUUUAUUACUUGUCCAUGGUGUAGACUGUGCUCGCUGCUGAGGGGCAGGGCAGGCCUGUGACAGACACAGCACCCUUCACGCUGAAGUGGCCUGAUUUACAGAGGGUCUUCACCCCCACCUGCAUAGUCACAGGGCAGAAAAGAAACACAUUUUGGCAGAGAAGAGUGGGAUAGGAGGAGGUGGCCACGGAGCCUGAAGCAGAAAGACACAGAUGCCCAGAUAGUGGAACGCCACAUGGUGACUGUACCAGGAGACCAUGCAGCAUUUGCCAGUGAGGAGAACGGGGCAGCAGAAAGAGAAGCUUCCUGCCACUUCACACAAUUUUGUGAUUUUUGUGUGUAUGAGAUUUGAAUCAUAUUAAUUCUGUCCAGCUGAUUGACAGAGCCACUGACUGCAACUUAAUAGAGUCCUCAUGGAUCCACAGGAGAAGAGGUGGCAGGCUGCAUUCCUCUAUGAGACAACACUUUCUCUUGGAGUCCCAGCCUCUGCUGAGUUAGAGGGCAGCUUCGGGAGAGUCCCUCUGGGGAUGCACAGGCAUACCGGCAUGCCUUCUUCAGCCACACAUUUGUGAAGACGAGUGUUUGAGAAAACCACCACAUAGCUAUCAGUUCACUUUACAAGGCUAACCCAGACUAGGAUCCAGAGAGAUUCUUUGCUGAAUGGCUGCUUCUACAGAAGGAACCCCCAUGAAAUGUCUGAGCUUUAGAUCUGCCAGCCCAGUACCAUUUUUGAUCUCUGAUGGGCAUGAGGGGUGAGCACUAUGAGGAAAAAGUUGAGAUUUUUGUCUUCUCCCUUCUGUUUCCUAUCGGUUUCUCUCCCAGAUGAUGGCAGUGGUAUCUGAGCACCAAGCGUUUGUUUAGUACAGGGCUGAGCAUCUCAUUUUACAAAUGAGCUGACUGAAGUACCAAGACAUUCCUCAUGGACUGGACAUUGUAGCGCUCAGGGCUUCAGAGCGUUUUUGUAUAAUGCUUGUAUUUCGUGUCUUCAAGGAAUAGUCUGUGCUUUGGUGUAUUCCCUUGCUGAAUACAGUGACCCUACACCC
rnacentral:lncRNA from 1 species